AGCAAGCGAGCGAGCGUGUCCUCCUUCCGCCUCCCUCUCUUCCGUCGUCCGCACUGGGCUGGGGCGGCGGCGCCUGAGCGGUUCCCUCGCGAGCCUGUGCGGACCAAGCCGCUGGAGAAGAGGAGGAGCAGCCCGGGCGGGGCGGAGACGCUUGCGGGCUCCUCUCAGUCACUUCAGCCAAUCAACAGCCAGAACCGAUGGUUGCGUAGUGUCCCCACCCCCUCGGGCACGCCUCUCUUCGAUAAGCCACGCCCAACUGCCCUCCAGCCGCCUUCCCUUUCGGCGGUUUCCGCGCGGUCCUAAUGUGUGGUGGCUGACCGCGGGCUGGGGUGGGGAAGGACGCGGUAGGACUGUAGGAGAUGGCUAGGUGUGCUAGAGCGCGGCAAGGCGCUGCUGAGACCCGCGUGUGCGGAGGGAAGUGGGGAACUGCCCCUUUUCCAAGGGCCUGAACACAGCUUUUGACUACUGACUGUCCUGUUCUGCCUUCCUCUUCGCGUGGGCCACCGCCCCACAGCGCCGCUGGGUUCCCUUCGCGGCCGCAUGGUACGCGUCCCGGGAGCGAAGCUUCCCCUGGGGGGAGCGCGCUAACCUGAGCUCCUUCGGUGCACCGCCCUGCCGACUGUCUGGAAGUCAGCAAUGGGAUAUUCCCACCACAACUUUACCGGGAUCUCUGGGUUGACUCUCUGGGUUGAGGAUCGGGGAGCUGGGUCGGGAGGCUGGCUUGUGGCUGUGGUUGAGGGGCCCGGACGCCUCGAAAGCAGGAGGGUGCCCAGGCGAAGUGCAGGCUGCACCAUGCAAUCUUCCGGGCGCAGAGGCGACCCAACCCGACCUGAGGGAGAUCCACGGGCUCUGGGCCGAGGGGAGACGCAGUGGCUAAAAGGCCCUCCUCAUCUCAUCUGUAUUUAUCUAGGUCUGACCAUUCUUCUGUAUCGGAUUCCACCUACCAGAAGAAAAGAACUCACCGGUCUCCCCAACCAUUCCAGUGCCUGUGAAUCUCAUCUCCCUCUGACUUUGGAGCCCUUACUACCAAUUCAGCAACCCUGUUUUCCUCCAGUUAUUUUUGGGCCUAAUUCUUGUCUAUCCUGUGGGACAUGGACCACAUUUUAA
rnacentral:lncRNA from 1 species